AGUUGCAUCCUCAGUUUUGUGCUGUAGAACAGGAAGGAAUCCUCUGGCACAUUGUAAAGUUGUGUUUGCCCAAAUUGUGACUCAGCUUGACAAAGGGAACUAUUCUGAAGCUACAUUGUGAAGUAUCCACCAUCACCAUCCACUAAAACAUCAGCAGAAGCACAGAUCAAUGUCUUACAAACGGUUUCUGGCAACAGCACAAACUACAAACAUGGUCCCUGCAGCAGUGGAACCAUCGACCCAGAUCAAAAGGACCAGACACCAGUAAAGAUGAGAUAAGUAGUCAGGUGAUCCAGCCUUAAAAACUGCCUCAAAUGGUGUUUCCUUAAAAAUUACGAACUGCCUCAAAUGGUGUUUCCUUAAAAGCCUGCAUCCAGAACAAAUUUAAAAUGGCUAGGUCAGUUGGUCCAGCCUUGCAACGUAGUCCAGCCUGGACUUCAGCGAGACAUGUCUGCUCUUGGCAUCAUCCCUAUUCUACUUCAAAAAUGAUGAGCAUUAAAGAAUGUUCAUAUGGAGUUUGCUUCAAAUGUGGCAAGCUAGUCACGGGGCAAGAAACUGCCCUUACUUCAACUGCUGGCAGGGUGCUGUCCAAACCGGACAAAUGGGAUGCAAGGAAGUCAACUGCCAAGAUUUUCAAGGGCAAGGUAGGCAUGUCCUUCAUAAUCCCUGCUUCAUAAAAAAUAUGUGAGACAUAGUGGGCCAGAAGGCUGAAGAUGAUGUUCCAAUGACACAGAGAAAUCUUGGGUGACUGUCUAGGCAAUCAGCAACCUCUACAGCUUCCAUGAUUUUGGAAAGUGCUUGCUCUGUACUUCUUACUUACUCAGGUAAUAUUUAUCCAUCUCAGGGCUCUGAUGAGGUAGAAGACUAGAUAGUCAGUCUCACAAUUAAGCUUCAGUUAUUUAGAAUUUAAGAAAAUGUUUUGAAGGGCUAGGAAGGUAU